rnacentral:rRNA from 1 species
UCAUUAAAUCAGUUAUCGUUUAUUUGAUAGUACCUUGCUACAUGGAUACCUGUGGUAAUUCUAGAGCUAAUACAUGCUAAAAACCCCGACUUCAGGGAGGGGUGUAUUUAUUAGAUAAAAAACCAACGCCCUCCGGGGCUCCUUGGUGAAUCAUAAUAACUUCGCGAAUCGCAUGGCCUUGCGCCGGCGAUGGUUCAUUCAAAUUUCUGCCCUAUCAACUUUCGAUGGUAGGAUAGUGGCCUACCAUGGUGGCAACGGGUAACGGGGAAUUAGGGUUCGAUUCCGGAGAGGGAGCCUGAGAAACGGCUACCACAUCCAAGGAAGGCAGCAGGCGCGCAAAUUACCCAAUCCCGAUACGGGGAGGUAGUGACAAUAAAUACUGAUACGGGGCUCUUUUGGGUCUCGUAAUUGGAAUGAGAGCAAUCUAAACCCCUCAACGAGGAACAAUUGGAGGGCAAGUCUGGUGAACCAUCAGUUCCACACUGCUGACGCCAGAGAUAGUAGGACCCCCCUCCGGGGGGGUUACGCCUACUAGUCGAGCACUCGCGAUCGCGAUGGGUGAGUGCCGGCGAGGUGACCUGGUACGGGGAAGCCUAAGGGUGCGGCCCUCGAGGGGGGCCGGGACCACCUAUGGUAAUCCCGUGGCGAGCCUGCCUGGCAGGCCGUCGUAACGCGCGGAAAGGCACCGGUCGUCA